CGUUGCGCAGCUCGGCGCCGGCGAGCGAGGACGCCUUCGGCGCGGCCUUGACGGGCGCCCCCGCGCUCGCGGCGUCCUGCGCUCUGCGCAGCCGC
rnacentral:tRNA from 1 species